rnacentral:misc_RNA from 1 species
ACAAAGCUCAAGUCCAAUAGGAUCAAGG